CUAAGCAGCAUUUGUGUUGAAUUUGGUGCUUGCAUCACCAUGUGCAGCAUUAUUUUGUUAUCUGCUGCACUAUUAGUGCACUUGCUUCCAAAACAGAAGGUUCCUGGUUCAAGACAUCCCGUUCCCAUUCUGCCUGUAACGUGCAGUUGCGUCAGGAACGGAAUCUGACAUAAAACCUGUGACAAAUCAACAAGCCGAUCCGUACUGGACCUGCUGUGGUGACUCUGAGCAAAAAUAGAGAAGCUGCUGAAACAAUUUAACUUGCCAAACUUUGUAUUUCUUCAUGACUGAUGUAAAUAAAGUUAGGGAGUUGGAAAUGUUCAUGUUUCCAUCCCCUGACAUAUCCCUAACAAAAAAAAAGAAAAAAAAACAUCUUUAAAACAUUUUUCAGAGUUUGUCCAAUUACCUAUGGGCUCUGACAGUGGAGAGACUGAGUAAAAAUGUUUAAUGUAAUAUUUUGGUUAAAUUAAAGCUGGACGUUGACUCUUCAAGAACACCUUGAUGGUUUCAUUUUAACUCAAUAAAUAAAUAACAUUCUUUGUGUCUAUGUAAUUAUGACCCGACUGUACGUAGUGCAAAAACUAAAUGGAUCUGUGAGAAUAUCUGCAGCGUGCAGCCGGGUGUGUAUAGUCAGAUGGACACAGGCAGUUUGGGACCAGAUAAGAAAAGUCCAGCCCAGACGUCAUCACAGUAUGCUAAUGAGCUGGACGCCUUUAAGAGUCGACUGUCAGGAGGCCGGAGUCACAAACGCCCAAUAUGACGACGCCAAGAAACAAAGAAGAGCUGCACGUGAUCGUGGCGCGUCUUGUGCUUUGGACAGGAUAUCAUCUUAUACUGUAAGUUUAUUAAAGAGACACUACAGUAUAGAUGAUGUACUAUUCAGGGCCUGACUAUCUGCACGCACACCGGCCUGGCUGUGAUAGAGGGGGGCCGCCAAACCGUUACCAUUACUGAGUUUUAGUAAUGGUAAGGGUUCUACGGCUCUCGCUCGCUGUCGUCUGGACCAGAAGGAAUCAACCGGAGGAAUCAACUCGACUUUAUUCACGGCGGCAGUUUGUCUUUUAUUUGACCUCUGAGACGCACAGUCAGGUCCAUCAGUGUGUAGUGACCAUUUAGUCGUUUUUCCUCUGAACUCAUCACAGCGGAGCACAAAUUAAUCAAGAUGUUCUCGCAGACUUUCAAAUUUAAUUCAAGCAGUUUAAGUAUUUAAAAAUUAGUUUUAUACAGUUCCUCCAAUGUAGAGCUCAUAAGUAUUUGAGGAAAUUAAAUAUUUUACAGGUGUUAAUACAAAUAAUCAAAGUUUUCUUAAAUACAAACAGGGAAUUUGAAAGGAUUUGGAGCCCAAUAAUUUCAUUUAUGGGAAAGAUGAAUGGUUAGAGUUCGUUAUACCAGCAGGAAUCUAUAAUACCUUCAAGUAGCACUCUGCAGGGAUGGGUGGGGUGUUUUUUUUCCUGUUAGUGUUGCUGUUGGUUUCGAUGAUAUUUUUUCUGUUGCGGUUCUGUUGUUCUGAUUGUUCUUUGGCAUAAUACUGUUAAAAGAAGCAAGACGUCCAUUCCAGACUAUUUCUGUAUUAUUGCUGUUCUUAUGCUUCAUAAUAAAAACAUUUGAAACAAGAAAUACAAACAGUAUGGUCAGUCUGGGGGAGGCAGUUCUCAAAAAAGUGAAAUGGGUGAGGGAAGCCACCAAGACACUUGUGAGGACUCUGUGACUGGACAAAUUGUUCAUAGUGCCACUUUUGUCUGGUGUGUAAACAGCAAUACAGCCUCAUGUUGGAGUGUCACAGAUUAGGAUUCAGUCCCUAAACUGGACCGUUAAACACGGUCUGUCCAAUCACUGAUGGCUUCUGAGGACAGAGGGCUGUAAUUCUUAAAUCACUCACGCAAUAUCUUUUGUUUUUAAUUCUGUGAAAUUAAAGCUGAAAUGUUUAACUCCAUUGUGGUG